CACGUAGGGGGCGAGCGUUGUCCGGAAUGACUGGGCGUAAAGGGUGCGUAGGCGGCCUCUUAAGUCCUGUGGGAAAGGCUCCGGCUCAACCGGAGAGGGUCAUGGGAAACUGGGGGGCUCGAGUGCCGGAGAGGGUCGCGGAAUUACCGGUGGAGCGGUGAAAUGCGUAGAGAUCGGUAGGAACACCAGUGGCGAAGGCGGCGACCUGGACGGUGACUGACGCUGAGGCACGACAGCUGGGGGAGCGAACAGG
rnacentral:rRNA from 1 species